UUAAACAGCACAUGUCCUGUGGAAUAAAAUUCUCUUCCCUGCAAUAAUAAUAGCUGUUUUGUUUUGACUUCAGAAAUUCUGAAAUCUGUGUGUAGCCAACAGUAAUUACUGCUCAUUACAAUAAUCACCAUCGACUUGAUCAGUCCCCUGGAACACAAGUCAGGACCUAAGGAAAUGGAUUUUUACCUAGGGUGAUGAAGAAUUUUACCUGAGGCCCAGGGCAGCCUCUCUGGGAGCCAAAUUUGGUGACUGAUACUAGAAGCUGUUAAUAUGUUGAAUUCCUAAGUCAGAAUUUUUGUUUUAAGUGUUUUCUGAGUGAAACCAUAUUCAAAGGAACCUGAAAUUUUGACCUCAUGUUAAAAAUUCUUUACAGGUUCCAUGUAUGAAAUAAUAAAAAGAGCAAGUGUGAAUAAGUGAGAAGUUUGUCAAGCAAGGAAAGUAAUAGCAGCAACCAUAUUACAGAGAUGUGGAGACCAACCUCUACUUCUUGGUUUAGGGGUUCCCUUCAAAAUAACAUGUAUGGCUAGGAGAGGGGUAGGUGUUGGAGUGAAAGCAAGCAUUGGGGGUGGCGUACAGAAUGAAAUCAUAAAGUCUCAGGAUUGACAUGGAUCUGAGGCUUAAAUCCCCUUUCCAGUAUUAGAGUGAACCUUUACUAUGUGCCAAACAUUAGGUAUAUUUAGAGUUCAGAAGCAAAGGAGUUGGCUCUGUCUUUAAGGAGUUCAUAGUUUUGACCAGACUAUCGGUUCAGAUGCAUUCUUUCAGGAAGGCAUUCAGCUACAUUCAAAUAAAAAACAAAAACGCAUUUACAGAGGCUUAACUAAAUAGAGUAAUUUUCCUCCCAAAUGUUAGGUCCAGAGGUGGGCAACUCAGAGCCAUUCAGGCUCUGGCUCCAAAUAUCUUUGUGCUCCACCAUCAUUAAUAUAUGACUUCCUUCCACAAGCUAGUCACUCAUGGGUGCCAGGUAGCAGCUCUACUCCAGCUGCAUGCCUCCUGCCAGGAAAGAAAGGAGAGAAAGAACAAAGAGGAGGGUAAGAAAGCUGCCUGAAUCAGGAAAAUAAAAUCUUUCCCAGAAAUCUCUAGCAGACAUUGAUUUCUGUCUCCUGGCCAGAAUUGUGUAGUAAGGCCACUCUAUCUGCAAAGAAUUUUGGGAAGGUAAGUACUUAAGCUAGGCAUAUUGCCACUCCAAGCAAAAAUAGAGACUCUUGUAAGAAAAAAAAAAUGGGAGAAUGGGGAUUGGUUAACAAGCAGCAUCUGCCAUAGACCAACAAGAACACUGACAAUGAAACCAUGGUAUAAUUUGUACAUAAUACAAAUUUCAUGCAGAAAAGCACAGAACUCUCUAUCUUCAGGUUAGGGGGAGGUGUCAUGGAGGGUUUCACUGAGGAGGGUAACAUUUGGCUGAGUCUCAAAGAAUGAAUUAAAUUGUCAAAGUACAAAAGAAAAAUAGUUGUUCAUCAAAAUAUUUUUAUUUGCCACUGGCAGAAAUGUAGCUUGAACCCAAAAGUACCAAGGUAAGGUUUCAAGCAUUGCUGGCUCCAGUCACCCAAUUGAUGUCACCAAGACCCAAUCUCUCUCUCUCUUUCUCUCCAUCCUUUGAUUCUAUAAUAGCCAGCAAGCAGCUCCAGAUUUACAUUACACCCUAUCAGCAGCUUUAGCAGUUCCAAUAAAGCUCUGAGUAUGCAUCUCACUGGAACAACUUGGGAUAUGUGUCCAUCACUCUGACCUAUCUCCUUGGACAGGAAAAUGAGAUAUGUUGAUUGGACAAGGCUGGGCUCCAUGUCCACCUCUGGAAUAUUAUUCAAAACACUUGAACUAAAAGCAAGAAAGAAGGUUCUCCAAAGGAAAACUGUGAGUAAGUAAAGUAGGCAAAAAGUACAAAUGUCUCUUACAGAGAACAAUUAUUUUAGUGAUGUUUAGAAGGUGUAAUGCACAAGAUACAGUUGAACAAUUGGCUGAUUUUGGUGAGGGGAGGGAAGAUUCUGAAAUGACACUGGAAUUCAGGCUUAGGUACUUAAGUAUGAUGUUGUCAUGAAACAAGCUGAUGACUACACAAACAGAACCAGUCAAGGAUGGGCAGGUGAAGAGGUUGGAGGCAAUAAUAAUAACGAUAAAUAAUACUAACUAUACUCCCUGGCAAACCAAGGGAAAGGAACAGCAGGAAGCAGUUUCCAGUGCUUAAAACAAACCACUGGACUAGAAAUAUUGAUUUUUAAAAAUCUUCAGGCCUGGCCAGGUGCGGUGGCUCACACCUGUAAUCCCAGCACUUUUGGAGGCCAAGGCAGGAG
rnacentral:lncRNA from 1 species